GGAGACCUCUGUGUUCCACCCGGUUUUACCCAGCGGUCAGCCCGGCGUAUCUCUGACUCAGAAGCUCUGGUGUUGUGCACAGUUAACUCCGGUUGUAGCUAGGUUGCUACCUCUGUUAGCUUAGCUCCCACCUCCGCGUUAGCUUUGGGUUAGCUUCAGGUUAGCUUGUAGCUAGUUCGACCGGGUGUCGUCAGUUGAUCCCAGCCUUACAGCCCCACCCUCAGCUCCACCUCUCUUCCCUUUUGUGGAAUUGUCUGGGCUUGACGGAACCUGUGACACGGUCAAAAUGGCGGUGGUAGCCACUUCCCAUUAAUCUUCAAAAAUGUGUUAUUGGAGCCUAUGGAAACCCACUGUCCAAUAUUUAUAUGUCGAUGGUUAAAUCCCACGUGUCUGAGCAAUCUCGGUGUUACGAGACACAACUCACGGUUGACUGGCGGUGAACUUUUUCUCUUUACUCAUGAAAUAAUAGAUAACUCAGGUUUUGCAUUAUGUGUCUCUCUGCCAGCAUCCUGAUUGUUCAAAAGCCGACUUAAAUGAGCAAAGUGGAUUCAGACACACUCCCGUGAAGCCUCUCCUGUCAAAGUUCAUGUUUAGAGUCAAAGCAGGUUUUCACACCUACGGAAACACUGAAGCUUAUCAUUAAAAAGGUGGCAGCUGUGUCUGCAGAUGCAGAAACCUGACUGCACCUGGGGUUCUGAGUUCUCUUCCACUUUGCAUGAGAUGCGUUCCUCUCCUGACAAAAGAUUCCAUUUAGCUUUGAGAGUGGAGCCACGCCAGCAUCGAUCCUUGCAUGAGGAGAUUUAUGGCUUCGCGACACACCCUCACAAGGAGCUGGCACAGUUUGUCUGAUCAAAAUGAUGUCAGAGGUGAGACUCGGUGUGUGUUUGUGCUGUGUGCAUGUUUGGAGAUUGUAAAAACAGCUGAACUUUUAUUAUAAAGCAACCAAAAAGACACAUUGAGCAGUUUAACCUGAGGGAGGCUGUUGGUGGAGUCGCUAGGCAAGAGCAACAGCUCUACUCGCCUAACAAAAGACUUCCUU
rnacentral:lncRNA from 1 species